AUACGGAGGGGGUUAGCGUUGUUCGGAAUUACUGGGCGUAAAGCGCACGUAGGCGGACUGGAAAGUUGGGGGUGAAAUCCCGGGGUUCAACCCCGGAACUGCCUCCAAAACUUCCAAUCUAGAGAUCGAGAGAGGUGAGUGGAAUUCCAAGUGUAGAGGUGAAAUUCGUAGAUAUUUGGAGGAACACCAGUGGCGAAGGCGGCUCACUGGCUCGAUACUGACGCUGAGGUGCGAAAGCGUGGGGAGCAAACAGGAUUAGAUACCCUAGUAGUCC
rnacentral:rRNA from 1 species